UACGUAGGCAGCAAGCGUUGUUCGGAGUUACUGGGCGUAAAGAGUAUGUAGGCGGUUUGCGUAGUUUGGUGUGAAAUCUCCUGGCUUAACUAGGAGGGUGCGCCGAAUACUGGCAGACUAGAGUGUGGGAGAGGGAAGCGGAAUUCCUGGUGUAGCGGUGAAAUGCGUAGAUAUCAGGAGGAACACCUGUGGUGUAGACGGCUUCCUGGACCACAACUGACGCUGAGAUACGAAAGCGUGGGUAGCAAACAGG
rnacentral:rRNA from 1 species